GGGGAAUAUUGCACAAUGGGCGGAAGCCUGAUGCAGCAACGCCGCGUGAAGGAUGAAGGUUUUCGGAUCGUAAACUUCUGUCCCUGGGGAAGAAGAGAGUGACGGUACCCAAGGAGGAAGCCCCGGCUAACUACGUGCCAGCAGCCGCGGUAAUACGUAGGGGGCGAGCGUUAUCCGGAAUUACUGGGCGUAAAGAGUGCGUAGGUGGUCAUGCAAGCGCGAGGGUCUAAGGCUACGGCCUAACCGUAGUUCGCCCCGCGAACUGCGUGACUUGAGUACAGGAGGGGAAAGCGGAAUUCCUAGUGUAGCGGUGAAAUGCGUAGAUAUUAGGAGGAACACCAGUGGCGAAGGCGGCUUUCUGGACUGCAACUGACACUGAGGCACGAAAGCGUGGGUAGCAAAC
rnacentral:rRNA from 1 species